CUCUCUUUGGCAGAGUGAGAGAAGGAAUCUAGAUGGGUUUAGAACAGGAAAUAGGAGUGUGAGGUGGGGCCAGGGUAUUAUGACAAGGAAAUAGCACACACCACGCAUGAGAGAGCAUGGCGAAGGGUGGGGGUGGACUGUAUUGUUUCUUAUUGUUGGAAUUUGAGUGCUUUGGAGGAGGGGCAAGAGAUGAGCUGGCUGAGCCCAGAGAGUAAUCCCCUUUUCCAUGGCUGUCAGAAGCUCUGGGAGGUGGUGAGAGACUAGGAGAGCCAGAGAAAACCUCCCAGGCCCAGGCCCAGACGCGGUGGGCCGUUUGCACCUUCAUUAUCCGAGAGGUGAAACCCCAAUCGUGUGCCAAAUUGCCUCGUCAGGCUCCAGCCUCUCCCCACUGUGGACUGUUUGCCUGUCUGGAAUGAGAUAAUUUGUCAGACACCAGCUGCUGAUCAUUCUUUCCUCAUGGGCACAUUUAUUAUUAUGUUACAAUGCGCAUGAAGAAUCUUUACCAUCACUGGAGUGAAAAUGAUUAAAAUGUUGGUUUUUUUUUUUUUUUUGCAGAAAUUCUCAAACCUUCCUUCUGCCAGAGACAGCAUCGGUCAUAGACCGUGUUAGGGGAGCAGGAUGGGGGGAUCAUUGUCAUAAUUCACAAAACAGCAAGCAGAGAACCCCAGGGUAUGGGGCUGGCGAAGGAGGACCAUUCAGAGCCUUUGUGAUGAGACCAGGAGCUUGCCAGCCACGGAAGCUGGGCUGUGCGUCCUUGAAAGAGUGCAGAGGAUGGGCUGGCUGGCUGGCUUCUAGAGCCGCACCAUGUCUAAUUAUGUACCAGGAGGCAAGAAAAGGUGUAGGUCUGUCUUUCCAGUUCAGAGGGAGAAAAAAAUAUGUGGUGUCUCGCGUCUAAGAAACGAACAGGCUGACCUUUUCAGAGCAUCUGAAAGGAAAAACCAGAUGUAUUCCUCAAGAGUCACUGUGACUGAAGGCUUGCAUUGUGCACUCACAUAAAGGGAGAGCUAACCAGAAAACAGCAGCUGAUGAUCUGAAGCCAGGCUGUGCUAUUGUCCGGCACACAAAUGUUCUACAAGGACCCAGACCACCAUGCAGUUCUCUGUGCUCAGACUAUGGAGGUUGCGGGGGAGUGGAGGGGGCGACAGCUUUUUUUUUUCCCCCUCCUUUUCUUUCUUCCUUCCUGAAACCUUUUCCUUCCAACCCCUCUACAGCCGCUCACAUUCAACUACUAGCAAUUAUUCCCAUUGACCCUCCUUGCUCUCCAAAUGGGGUGUGGGUCUCGAAAGGUUUUCUCUUUGUACCUGACCAUCUCGUGUUGCAGGCAGGCUCCAGGGAGGACGCGAGGUCUCAGCUCCCUGGGGACAGUGCCUGGGAGUGGAGUGGCUGUGAUUCCUUUCCAUCCAGCAAAGUCAAAGCAAGGCAAACGUGGGCUGGGAGGCAGACAGGAGAAUCCCCCCAGCCUCAUCAAGGGUUUGCGAAGCGGUGGCGGAAAGCCUCAGAAGAACACUCAAAGGUCUGCUUCUGCCCCAGUCCAGGAUGGGAGGCCAUCAGGAAGAUGCUGCCCUCCUUGUCCUGCCAUUUAAAAUGCUUUCUCUGGCUAAAAAAGAUCCGAGUCUUCCUGCCCUUUUUCCCCAACUUGGUCUCUUCCCUGCCAGCACUCUCUUGUGAUCUUCUUCUUUCGAUGUCACACACACACACAUACACACUCAUACUCACACAAUUAAAAUUUCCAAGGAGGCAGAAGUGCAGGGGAGGCAGUGACAGUGGAGCAGAAAGAUGACCUGAUGAUAAAGAGACCUAGUUUAAGCUCCACCUCUGUGUGCGCUUGGACAAGCAGCUCUCUUCUCUCGGCUCCAUGCCCUCACCUGGGAAAAUGUGGGUGUUGAGCCCAGAAUCCCUCGCAGCUUUGACACUGACUCAGCAAGUCAUCUUUCUCACGUGUUAUAGAUAAUUGACACCAUCUGGAAAUUUCUGACUGUGGGUUGUAGGCACAGACCUACCUACUAAGAUGCUGACAAAAUUCUUUGCCCAUAGGAUUAGCAUCAUGGUGUAAUGGCUUGUUCAUGUAGCAAUAGGACAGUGUGAUUUCUUCCGGAGACCCUACAAUGGGGCAGUGCAACACACGUGCUGUAGUAUUAGCUUUGGAGUCAGAGAGACCUGAGUUUGAAUUUAGGCUCUGUUACUUCCUGGCUGUGUGACCUCAGGUAAGUCACUUAAGCUCUCUGAUCCUGAGUUUCUCCCACAGUAAAAUUGGAACAAUAAACAUUAUGAAAGGUUGUUACA
rnacentral:lncRNA from 1 species